rnacentral:SRP_RNA from 10 species
GCCAGGUGUGGUGGUGCAUGCCUAUAGCCCUCUGAGGCUGAAGCAGGAUGAUUGCUUGAGCCAGGAAUUCUGGGCUGUAGUGUGGCAUGCCAAUGGGGAGUCUGCACUAAGUUCAGCAUCAGUAUGGUGGCCUCUUGGGAGCGGGGGACCACAAGGUUGCCUAAAAAAAACGUGAAAGACCCAGGUCAGAAAUGGAGCCAGUCAAAACUCCCAUGCUGAUCAAUGAUGGGAUCACAACUGUGAAUGCCACUGUCUUCCAACCCGGGCAACAUAGUGAGACCCCCACC